rnacentral:rRNA from 1 species
AUCCUGGCUCAGAACGAACGCUGGCGGCGUGCUUAACACAUGCAAGUCGAACGCGAAAGGGACUUCGGUCCUGAGUAAAGUGGCGCACGGGUGAGUAACGCGUAGAUAACCUGUCUUCAUGUCUGGAAUAAUACGCCGAAAGGGGUACUAAUACCGGAUAUUCUUGCUUUUCAUAAGUUAUGCAAGCAAAGGUGGCCUCUGCAUAUGCUACUGCAUGAAGAGGGGUCUGCGUACCAUUAGCUAGUAGGUGGGGUAAUGGCCUACCUAGGCGACGAUGGUUAGCGGGUCUGAGAGGAUGAUCCGCCACACUGGCACUGGAACACGGGCCAGACUCCUACGGGAGGCAGCAGUGAGGAAUAUUGCGCAAUGGGGGAAACCCUGACGCAGCGACGCCGCGUGAGUGAGGAAGGCCUUCGGGUCGUAAAGCUCUGUCAAGAGGAAAGAAGUGUACAAUGGCUAAUACCUGUUGUAUUUGACGGUACCUCUAAAGGAAGCACCGGCUAACUCCGUGCCAGCCGCCGC